rnacentral:rRNA from 1 species
AGCGAACGCUGGCGGCAGGCCUAACACAUGCAAGUCGAACGAACCCUUCGGGGUUAGUGGCGGACGGGUGAGUAACACGUGGGAACGUGCCUUUAGGUUCGGAAUAACUCAGGGAAACUUGUGCUAAUACCGAAUGUGCCCUUCGGGGGAAAGAUUUAUCGCCUUUAGAGCGGCCCGCGUCUGAUUAGCUAGUUGGUGAGGGAAUGGCUCACCAAGGCUACGAUCAGUAGCUGGUCUGAGAGGAUGACCAGCCACAUUGGGACUGAGACACGGCCCAAACUCCUACGGGAGGCAGCAGUGUGGAAUCGUGCGCAAUGGGCGAAAGCCUGACGCAGCCAUGCCGCGUGGAUGAUGAAGGUCUUAGGGUUGUAAAAUCCUUUCACCGGUGAAGAUAAUGACUGUAGCCGGAGAAGAAGCCCCGGCUAACUUCGUGCCAGCCGCCGCGGUAACAC